GUAUAUAACUGCCUACCGCCCGGCGCCGCCCCGCUCCGCGCUCGGACACGCGAAUUACAGUCACUCCCACACCACCAGGUCGCCGAGGUCGGUCAUUGGGUUGGGUCCGGCGGCCUCCGUUGGCUCGCCGCGCGGCUUGGGCGAUUUCCGGUUAGUAUGAGCGAGGGAACGCGGAAGAUGCGGCGGCUGCGCGUCGCCAGCGGCGGCGGCGGGGGGAGCAGCAAGGCGAACGCGAGCGGCGCCAUCGCCGACGAGUGGAGCAGCGGGGGGCGCGGCAUUGGGGCGCGGAUCCGCGGGGUGAACGUGGGGAUACUGGACGAGCAGGUGCUGGUUCUGGUGUUCCGGGCGCUCAACUGGGACCCGCAGGCGCUGUGCUCCGUGGCGCGGGUCAGCCGGCGUCUGCGGGCGGUCGCGGAGCGCGUGCUGUGGCGGGAGCUCUGCGCCUCGCGGGCGCCGCGGAUGGUGUCCGCGCUCACCACGGG
rnacentral:lncRNA from 1 species